UAUACUUGAAUCCCACAUCGACGCGUUAAAAGAGUUUAUAACACUUUAUAUACUUUUGUUUAAAACAAUUGGUCAGCCAAAUUCAAAAGAAUCUGAAUCAAAAAACACUCUCAAACUCUCUUGGAUCUGGUCUUUUUAGUUUGCUGUGUUUUUUUUUUCUGCAACUUCCUUUUUGGAAAUUCUAAUACGACUACUCUUUUUAGAAAAUAAAAAUAAAUAAACAUCAAAACAACAGACAUUCUAGUGCUAUCUGAAAUUGUCGAUUGAUUUGCUCUAGUUUUUUUUUUUUUUUUGGGUUCAAGAAAAGCAUUGCCUGUAGUAUUUAUGGAUGUAAUUUUUAGCUGAAACCCUUCAAAACUUGAAGGAAAUUCUUAAUUGCAACUCCUAAAAUAAGAUUGUAGUUCUUACAUGUUUUUCUUCCCACUGCAAUUGAGUGGGGAUGUCAAAAAGAUUCAACUUGAGGUAAACCCACCCUAAAUUUAUAAAAAUAAAAAUAAAAAACUCGAUCGGAACAUGAGGUCAAGGCCCGAAAAUAAAUAAAAGAAUAAAAGGCAAAAGAACUUAAAACAACAUUGGGUUGGGCUCUAGGUUCUGGGCGGAUGAGAGCAGGAGGAGGGGGUCUUGUUGGUGGUCAUGGGGAAAGAGAAGUUUUUGGGUGUCUUGAGAAGGGUUGGCUGGGGUUCUGGGUUCGAUGGGAAAGCAAAGAGAGCCUUUAAUCCCUUGAUUAAUUGUAUAUUUGCAGUUCAUAUACCACCAGCACCAGGGAAAGAGAUGGCCUUAUUUUUGAACAAGCUAGCUUCUAUGGUGCCCCAUCUCUCUCCAUGCUGUCGACGUUGACGUCCCUCUCGAGAUUUUGCGCAAGGAUGAGCACAAGCUUGAACGGGUUGCUUUGGGUAGAGAGUUCCUUAUAAGUCUGGGAAAAUCUGUACCAAUCCGAGUGCACCAGGUUGACUCCCUGGUCACAAUGCUUCGGCAGAAGCUUCAGAUUCAGAGGCGGUAUGAACAUAAUUCUCUCGCGUGCAUGAUUUUUACUUCUUUUAUUGAACAUAAUGCUGAUUUGCGGUAAACCAUUGGAAGCAAGUGGGAGGUUUUUGUUAACAAUGAUCACACCCGGACCUUUAUGUCGAUAGAAGUUAUUGCUGCCGGGUUAGCUGAGAUAACAAAGCAGAUUCAAGCUGUCAAUGAGGUGUAUAAGCUUCACAAUCUUCCUGAAUUUUACAAGGAUCCAGGCCCUCAUAACUCGGAAAAACAGAGGCCUAAAGUCCAUCAUUAUCAGGGAACCAAUUGAUUCAGUACGCACGCCUCGCCUAACCUCAUCACUAUUGAACUUUAUUUAAAU